GCGGGGGUAGCCAAGUCAGGUCAAAGGCGAGGGACUCAAGAUCCCUUCCUGCAGAGGUUCAAGGGUUCGAAUCCCUUCCCCCGCACCA
rnacentral:tRNA from 1 species